rnacentral:tRNA from 1 species
UAUGGCUCAGUGGUAGAGCAUUUGCCUAGCAACCAUGAAGCCCUGGGUUCAAUCCUCAGUA